AUAUGAUAAAUCUUCAAUGCAAUAUUUUCUUAGAUAAAUAAUUAUGUAUGUGAGGAAAUGGUUUAUGAUAAUGUGUGUCGGUUAUAUAUUAAAUAACAAUGUGCUUUGCAAUAUAAAAUGUUAUGCACUAAUAAAUAUAAAUGCAUGUUAUUAUAUGAGGCAUAUUCGGUGUGUACUCUAUGUGUAAUAUGAUUAUAGAUAUUGACUUAUAAAGUUUAUAUGCUUUAAUAUUAUACUAGAAUGUGUCUAAAUU
rnacentral:lncRNA from 1 species